UACGUAGGGUGCAAGCGUUGUCCGGAAUUAUUGGGCGUAAAGAGCUCGUAGGCGGUCUGUCGCGUCUGCUGUGAAAACUCAGGGCUUAACCCUGAGCUUGCAGUGGGUACGGGCAGACUAGAGUGCGGUAGGGGAGACUGGAAUUCCUGGUGUAGCGGUGAAAUGCGCAGAUAUCAGGAGGAACACCGGUGGCGAAGGCGGGUCUCUGGGCCGUAACUGACGCUGGAGGAGCGAAAAGCAUGGGGAGCGAA
rnacentral:rRNA from 1 species